AAGUUGCAGGGUAUAGACCCGAAACCCGGUGAUCUAGCCAUGGGCAGGUUGAAGGUUGGGUAACACUAACUGGAGGACCGAACCGACUAAUGUUGAAAAAUUAGCGGAUGACCUGUGGCUGGGGGUGAAAGGCCAAUCAAACCGGGAGAUAGCUGGUUCUCCCCGAAAGCUAUUUAGGUAGCGCCUCGUGAAUUCAUCUCCGGGGGUAGAGCACUGUUUCGGCUAGGGGGCCAUCCCGGCUUACCAACCCGAUGCAAACUGCGAAUACCGGAGAAUGUUAUCACGGGAGACACACGGCGGGUGCUAACGUCCGUCGUGAAGAGGGAAACAACCCAGACCGCCAGCUAAGGUCCCAAAGUCAUGGUUAAGUGGGAAACGAUGUGGGAAGGCCCAGACAGCCAGGAUGUUGGCUUAGAAGCAGCCAUCAUUUAAAGAAAGCGUAAUAGCUCACUGGUCGAGUCGGCCUGCGCGGAAGAUGUAACGGGGCUAAACCAUGCACCGAAGCUGCGGCAGCGACACUCAGGUGUUGUUGGGUAGGGGAGCGUUCUGUAAGCCUGUGAAGGUGGCCUGUGAGGGUUGCUGGAGGUAUCAGAAGUGCGAAUGCUGACAUAAGUAACGAUAAAGCGGGUGAAAAGCCCGCUCGCCGGAAGACCAAGGGUUCCUGUCCAACGUUAAUCGGGGCAGGGUGAGUCGACCCCUAAGGCGAGGCCGAAAGGCGUAGUCGAUGGGAAACGGGUUAAUAUUCCCGUACU
rnacentral:rRNA from 1 species